CUACGUGCCAGCAGCCGCGGUAAUACGUAUGUCGCAAGCGUUAUCCGGAAUUAUUGGGCAUAAAGGGCAUCUAGGCGGCCAGAUAAGUCUGGGGUGAAAACUUGCGGCUCAACCGCAAGCCUGCCCUGGAAACUAUGUGGCUAGAGUACUGGAGAGGUGGACGGAACUGCACGAGUAGAGGUGAAAUUCGUAGAUAUGUGCAGGAAUGCCGAUGAUGAAGAUAGUUCACUGGACGGUAACUGACGCUGAAGUGCGAAAGCUAGGGGAGCAAACAGGAUUAGAUACCCUGGUAGUCCUAGCUGUAAACGAUGAUUACUGGGUGUGGGCAUGAAGAGUGUCCGUGCCGAAGCUAAUGCGAUAAGUAAUCCGCCUGGGGAGUACGGCCGCAAGGCUGAAACUCAAAGGAAUUGACGGGGACCCGCACAAGCGGUGGAGCAUGUGGUUUAAUUCGAUGCAACGCGAAGAACCUUACCUACUCUUGACAUCCAGA
rnacentral:rRNA from 1 species